AAUAGAUACCCGGGUAGUCCACCCCGUAAACGUUGGGAACUAGUUGUGGGGACCAUUCCACGGUUUCCGUGACGCAGCUAACGCAUUAAAGUUCCCCGCCUGGGGAGUACGGCCGCAAGGCUAAAACUCAAAGGAAUUGACGGGGACCCGCACAAGCGGCGGAGCAUGCGGAUUAAUUCGAUGCAACGCGAAGAACCUUACCAAGGCUUGACAUAUACGAGAACGGGCCAGAAAUGGUCAACUCUUUGGACACUCGUAAACAGGUGGUGCAUGGUUGUCGUCAGCUCGUGUCGUGAGAUGUUGGGUUAAGUCCCGCAACGAGCGCAACCCUCGUUCUAUGUUGCCAGCACGUAAUGGUGGGAACUCAUGGGAUACUGCCGGGGUCAACUCGGAGGAAGGUGGGGAUGACGGUCAAAUCAUCAUGCCCCUUAUGUCUUGGGCUUCACGCAUGCUACAAUGGCCGGUACAAAGGGCUGCAAUACCGUAAGGUGGAGCGAAUCCCAAAAAGCCGGUCCCAGUUCGGAUUGAGGUCUGCAACUCGACCUCAUG
rnacentral:rRNA from 1 species